rnacentral:rRNA from 1 species
UACAGAGGUGGCAAGCGUUGUUCGGAAUUACUGGGCGUAAAGGGCGCGUAGGCGGUCCGAUAAGUCCCGUGUGAAAUCCCUCGGCUCAACUGAGGAAUGGCACGGGAAACUGCCGGGCUUGAGUUCGGGAGAGGGAAGCGGAACUCCGAGUGUAGCGGUGAAAUGCGUAGAUAUCCGGAGGAACACCGGUGGCGAAGGCGGCUUCCUGGACCGACACUGACGCUGAGGCGCGAAAGCUAGGGGAGCAAACGGG